GAUUUCUGGCUUGCAACCUUGAGCCGGCCACGGUUUCGUGUGUUAGUGCUUGAGUUUCUGGCCAUCCUUCCAAUCGCUAUUCAUUCAUCUUCAUUGAUGGGUGAGUGGUAUUGGAUCUUUUACUUUGAAAAAAUUAGAGUGUUUCAAGCAGGCUUUAUGCUAUGAAUACAUUAGCAUGGAAUAAUAAUUUAGGACUUCGGUUCUAUUUUGUUGGUUUCUAGGACUGAAGUAAUGAUUGAUAGGGAUAGUUGGGGGUGCUGGUAUUCAGCGGCCAGAGGUGAAAUUCUCGGAUUCGCUGAAGACCAACUUAUGCGAAAGCAUU
rnacentral:rRNA from 2 species